rnacentral:rRNA from 1 species
GGGGAAUAUUGGACAAUGGGGGCAACCCUGAUCCAGCGACGCCGCGUGUGUGAAGAAGGCCUGCGGGUUGUAAAGCACUUUUAGUGGGGACAAAAAGCCGAGGGCUAAUACCCUUCGGUCUUGAUUUAACCCAAAGAAAAAGCACCGGCUAACUCUGUGCCAGCAGCCGCGGUAAUACAGAGGGUGCAAGCGUUAAUCGGAAUUACUGGGCGUAAAGCGUGCGCAGUCGGUUAUUUAAGUCGGAUGUGAAAUCCCCGGCUCAACCUGGGAAUUGCAUUCGAUACUGGAUAGCUAGAGUUCGGCAGAGGGAAGCGGAAUUUCGGGUGUAGCGGUGAAAUGCGUAGAUAUCCGAAGGAACAUCAGUGGCGAAAGCGGCUUCCUGGACCAGAACUGACGAUCAGGCACGAAAGCGUGGGGAGCAAAC